AAAAGUCGUAACAAGGUCUCCGUUGGUGAACCAGCGGAGGGAUCAUUACCGAGUUUACAACUCCCAAACCCCUGUGAACAUACCUUAUGUUGCCUCGGCGGAUCAGCCCGCGCCCCGUAAAAAGGGACGGCCCGCCGCAGGAACCUUAAACUCUGUUUUUAGUGGAACUUCUGAGUAUAAAAAACAAAUAAAUCAAAACUUUCAACAACGGAUCUCUUGGUUCUGGCAUCGAUGAAGAACGCAGCAAAAUGCGAUAAGUAAUGUGAAUUGCAGAAUUCAGUGAAUCAUCGAAUCUUUGAACGCACAUUGCGCCCGCCAGUAUUCUGGCGGGCAUGCCUGUUCGAGCGUCAUUUCAACCCUCAAGCCCAGCUUGGUGUUGGGAGCUGCAGUCCUGCUGCACUCCCCAAAUACAUUGGCGGUCACGUCGAGCUUCCAUAGCGUAGUAAUUUACAUAUCGUUACUGGUAAUCGUCGCGGCCACGCCGUUAAACCCCAACUUCUGAAUGUUGACCUCGGAUCAGGUAGGAAUACCCGCUGAACUUAAGCAUAUCAAU
rnacentral:rRNA from 1 species